rnacentral:lncRNA from 12 species
GGUUCCAUCAGCUCUGUGGUUGGGAAGCAGUGUUUGCACGCUGGGCAGCCCACGAGGGCGCCGUGUGCGGAAGUCCACAGGAAGAGAGGGAACAGGUCCAUUCGUGCUUCACCCCCUGGCGGUGGCAGCUAUGGCCCUAGCAAAACUGGGAACGUGCUGCAAAGAGGUGGGAAAAAAAGUCCCAGACACGACCCUCACAUCGGAGCAUUGCAGCCCUCCCUUGCCAACACCGCGGCGUUUUCAGCAGCCCACGGCGCAUCCAGCACCCCGUCCGUGGACUGAAUGCCCGUGUCCCCCCCCCCCCACAGUCACAGAUUCUAAUCGCCUUCCAGAAAACAGCUGCUAUUAGCUUCUCCCCUGAGCCUCCGAAUCCCCGGUGCUCAGCAAAAUUCCCCUCUGAUUGAAGCAGCUGUGCUCGGAGCUGAGCGUCCGCCUUCAGAGCUCAUCAAAGCCCCUCAAAGGGGAGAUUAGCAGCAACUUCCCAUCAGGCCCGGCAUUGUCACCAUUCACCGCGCCAGCCGCGCUCGGCCACCGCGGGCCCUCGCGGAAGACAUGGAAUUAGAGAGCGCGGGGCCCUCAGAAGCACGGAAUCAUCAAAUCUUCCCCCAAAUCAGCUUAGGGUGUUAGAAUUUUAAGGCUGCAUCCUUUCAGAAGCUCAGACUCUUAGAAGUCACCUCGAAUUUUAUUCCCAUUAAGUUUGGGGUAAAAUAAAUACAUCUAAUCUCUGACA